GCUUAUUUUUGUGUAUAUAUUAAACAACUGACGACGUCAAAGUGGGUAAUCUAUUAACACAUAUCCGUGUUUGGGGAUCAAUAUGUUAGAAAUAGUAAUCUAGAAAAGUCUAGUGUAAAAAUCAAGAUGAAUUCUAGAUUUAUCUAAACAAAUAUCUAUUGUAAUUAAGACAUAUUAUAGAAAAAUCUAGGAAUGAAGAAUUUAGAAUAAUUUAGCAUCAUAUAUUAUUAGAUCAUAUAAGAUUAGUGUAAAAUAUUGUAGAUUGAGAUAUACCACUCCUAUAAAUAUGUGUUAGCAUUGUACAUAGAAGUGUGGAGUCAUAUUUACUUCCUACCACAUUCAUAAGAAAGCGUUCUCUUAUAGAACCUUGCAUAUCACAUGUCAUAUGUAUCUCCCUUAAGUUUGUAACAAAUUAUUCCAAUAAAUGAAAAUUCAUAAAUUACAAAAUUAUGCGCCUGUAAAAAAAUUCUAUCACAAUAUUGCUUAAUGGCUCAUUAUUAUGAUAUAAUAAUUGUUGAUCAUCAAUGUUAAAGAAACCUUUAUAAUUUAUAUGCAAUUAUUAUAAUACAGUAUCAUGGAUCAUCAUACUCAGUGGCGGAUUUACCUCAUACCACACUCGUGCACGUGCACCAGCAAUAAAUAAAUAAAUAAAUAAAAUAAAAAAAUAAAAUAAAAAAAAUUUCAAAAAAUCACGCACGCAGUCCGCAGACUUCUUUUCUCUCGCUCACAAAUUCACAAUCGCAGACUUACCUUUCUCUCUCAUAAAACCUCAAACCUUCUCGCCGGUGGCUUGACUGGCUUCGUCCAGCGGCCUCACCAGCGGCGCCUUCGUGGUCGAUUCGUGGCGGCUUCGUCACUGCUGGUGGCUUCGUCCUUGGUGGGCGAUUUGUGGCUUCAUUGGUGGGCGAUUCGUGGCUUCAAGUGGUCGGAAUUCGUGGCUUCAAGUGGUCGGAAAUCGGAAUUCGUUCCUUGGUGGACGACGGUGGUCGGACAACUUCCAAGAAUCGUGAAUCUACUCUAGGUAUUAUGAUAUUGUAUCGUUGAUCAUCAUACUGUUUAAGAAACCUCUAUAUGGCAGGGGAUUUGUCCAAUGGCUUCACGCAAGGACCUAUUUGCUUACACGAGGUAAAGCUUAUUUCAUGUAUAUAUAUUACAGUACUGACAAUGUCAAAGUGGGGAAUCCAUUAACGCAGAUUCGUGUUUGGUGCUCAAUAUUGCUUAAUGGCCCAUACCGGCACUAAGACAAAAUAUUUUUAAAAAAGUUACUUUUUAUAUAGGUUUUUGUAUUUUGUUGAUUGGUUGAGAGUUGCGACUUGAGAGAUAUGGCACCAUAUAUUAUUGGUUAACUCUAUUUCAUGUUCAACCACACAAAUCAUUACAAUUUUUUUGGAUCGCCUUUAGAUAAUCUUGUAGUAAGAUGAAUUUACUCUUUCCUACUUUCGUACAAGGUCACUCACCCACAAAUCAAAAAGCCCCAAACCCCUUAUCCCUACACAAUAAUAUUGAAAUUUUUGCUUCCACCAAGAUUUAAACCUUAAUCUCAUAUGUGGGAGAUAGAAAGUCAUACCAUUGAACCCAAGGAUCCUUGGUAUACAAAUUAUUAGAAUAGGUGGUAUAAUUUUUAUGUUAGAACUAGACAAUCUAAAUCUACAUUAUCCUAACAAGUCUGAAACCCGAUCCAUCCCACUCUAACCCAACAUUGUUCCUAAACAUUUGACACCAAUCUAGUUGUCCCUUCUCUUCUCCUUUUUUUAAUUUGUUUCCCUUUGAAUCUCGAACUACAUCAGAUAGUUUUAAUAAAUACUUCGAUGGUCUUACCUAAUGGAUUAAAUUAGUCAACGAAUGGAUUAAAUAAGUCACUAAAUAGAUUCAAGCAUGUGAGUUAAGUUGGUAACUAAAUAGAUUAAACUAGUUACUAUAUUCGGAAGGAAAAAUUGAUUUAAUUAGUCCCAACUUUGGGCGUCCUGACAAAAACAGUCCCAACUUUCGUUUUUUAUCAUUCAGUACCAAUUUUUAGGGGUCUUUUACAAUAACAGUUCAGGUUAACCAGUAACCGGUUUAAUAGGUUAAUUUUUUUAAAUUUUUUUACUUUGUUUUUAUUGUUUUUCUUCUCUUCUCCCUCCUUCCUCCCUUUCCACCUCCUCUUCCUUCUCCCCAGCCAUCCACCCCCUCCCUCUCCCCUACCAAGUGUCGACUUCCUGCCACCGCCCUCCCUAUCCCCUGCUAGCCCCGCCCUCGCCUCUGUUGACCCGUUGCCACCCUGAACCCCUGCUGACACAUUGCCAUCCCCAUCCCCACUUUCUCUCCUCCUCGUUGUUCUGCCGGCACCACUUUUCUUCCGGGACGUCAACAACCCCUCCCCCUCCCCUAUCAUAUGACCCAUCUCUCAAGCCCACCCACAUCACACCUGGUUAAACCCAAAACCCCAAACCCCAAACCCAUUGACUACCAUGUCAAACCCACACAACAUCAGUAAACCACCUCUUCUCUUUCGUCCAAAAAAGAAAAAUUGAAGCUUUGUUCUUUCUUUUUCCAUGGCAGAACAACCUCUUGUACUUUUAUCCCACUCAAUCAAUUCCGCCUGUCCAAACUUAUCAAAUUUCAUCCACAAUCUCGCUCCUCCCAUCUUCUUCUUCUUCCCUUUACUCGCGGAACUAAUUCAAUCGCUGAAUUUUUCCCAUUCUUUCUCCUCAAGAAAUUAAAAUUCCAGUUUCAAGCCCUCUUUUGGCGUGAGAGUGAGAGAUGGGGAGAGGAGGGAAUCUCUCUCCUUUGACUAUUAGAUUUGACUUUGUGAAUCUUGCGUUUUCUAGGGUUGUGCCUCUGCUUGGUCCGCUUUGUCUGCCACCAACUCCUUCAAAUCCACCCAAUUAUUUUGUCCUUCUGUAUUAUGGAUGACAUCUACACUGGGUAGGGGAUACUUACUACUUGACUUACCUUUUUAAAGAAAUUCUUCACUCCUGCACAUUAGAUAUGCAAAACAAUGGCAUAGAUUGUGCUCCAUGGAACGAGAAAGCAAGCUUCAAUUUUUUUUUUGGCCGAAAACGAAAGGGAGAAUGAGGGUUUUAAUAACUAACUAGAUCACGUGAGGCAUGUGACACAAGUUUUCCUGCAUUAGCAAGUUGGUUACCGGGAAGGACCACUAGUAUAAAGGACCCCCGAAAGUUGGGACUGAACAAUAAAAAACGAAAGUUGGGAUUGUUUUUGUCAGGACGUCCAAAGUUGGGACUGAUUAAAUCAAUUUUUCCUAUUCGGAAAGAUGGUCCGUUCUAUUCUUAACAUUGGGAAUGUGUUGUUGCCUAAUUUUAGAUGAAAAGUAAGCAGUAUCUUACAAGACCAACUUAUUAAACAAAAAGUGGUUUGGUUAUACAUUCAUUUGGAGAUAUUAUACAUUAGAUGUUGGUUUUUUUUAUCUUAUUAUUGUUGUUAUUGGUCAAUAUAUUGUAUUAUCAAACUGUUAUUAGUAUAGUUUAGUUGAAUUAGCAACAUGUUAGUAAGUUCAGUUGAUAACGAUUUGUUAUCUCUGUCAAAAAAAUGAUUUGUGUUAUCAUAUUGUAUAUAUAUGGCUGGUAAUGCGGUUCUCCCAAGCUGUCAGACCAAGAGUAAGUCUAGUUUAAAAUCAUUAAUUGUCAUAUCCAAUGACUACUUGAUAUGUCAUAUUUAUAUAUAGUUUUUAGGUGUAUUUAGGUUGUAUUUUAUAGCAUCUAAACCUAUAUAUAGGUUCAUUAUUGCAUUAUAUUCUUAAGUUAUGUUAUUCUACUCCUAUUCGGUAUGUUUUCUUGGUUUUUGAUGAAUUUCAGGUAUUGAGAACUUAUUGGAGUAUGAUUAUCUAAGCUUGAGGAUUAAGAGCACUUGAAAAUAAACUACAAUACAUAAGGAUCGUAUGGAUAUGUCAUAGUACGAGUUUGAGCAAAAAACGAAACGGAAAAUAAAUCAUUAGGAGAAAUGUGAAAAAGGAGUCACGUCUACUCUUCUGAUCAUAGCUUUUCAUUUUCUUCUUAGAAUGAAGUAAGUCCCGCAUAUAUAGAAAUUAGACUUGAAUAUGUUUCCAACGAUAGGUGGCACGCCCCGAGGAGACUUCUAUUCAAGGAGUUAUGCCUAUCCGAAAUUGGGAGUGUUUAUGCUGGAAUCUGUUUUUGUACGCGCGGAUCACUAAUUCCACCCAUUUAAUGAUAUUUCGACUUUCCUUAACUUGUAGAUAAUUUUCCUAGUCAUAUUAGGUUACCUAGUAUUAAUUAUAUUAGGUUUUGAUUUUUUUUUCGCUCUCCUCCUCCCUUCUCACGUUAGAUUUAUUCCUUAGGUUUCGUUUUAGUUUUCUCCAUCUUUUUCUCUCUAGUUUAGGAGUAAACCGUACCCCAGUUUUUCAUGCUCGUCAUUGAUUCAUAAGAUUAUUUUUUUCAUCU